UGGGGAAUAUUGCACAAUGGACGGAAGUUUGAUGCAGCGACGCCGCGUGGAGGGUGUAGGCCUUCGGGUUGUGAACUCCUUUUUCUUGCGAAAAAGGCACAGUUUUGGCUGUGUUGAUGGUAGUGGGGGAAGAAGCGCCGGCUAACUACGUGCCAGCAGCCGCGGUAAUACGUAGGGCGCGAGCGUUGUCCGGCUUUCUUGGGGGUAAAGAGCUCGUAGGUGGUUCGUCGCGUCUGUCGUGAAAGCCAGCAGCUUAACUGUUGGGCUGGGGUGGGUACGGGCGGGGUUGAGUGCGGGAGGGGUGGGGGGAAUUCCUGGUGUAGCGGUGGAAUGCGCAGAUAUCAGGAGGAAAACCGAUGGGGAAGGCAGGUCACUGGGCCGUUACUGACACUGAGGAGCGAAAGCGUGGGGAGCGAACAGG
rnacentral:rRNA from 1 species